rnacentral:rRNA from 1 species
UACGGGAGGCAGCAGUGAGGAAUAUUGGACAAUGGAUGGAAAUCUGAUCCAGCCAUGCCGCGUGCAGGAAGACGGCCCUAUGGGUUGUAAACUGCUUUUAUAUGGGAGCAAUAAGGUUUACGCGUAGACCGAUGAGAGUACCAUAUGAAUAAGCAUCGGCUAACUCCGUGCCAGCAGCCGCGGUAAUACGGAGGAUGCGAGCGUUAUCCGGAUUUAUUGGGUUUAAAGGGUGCGUAGGCGGCCUUGUAAGUCAGCGGUGAAAUUUUGCAGCUUAACUGUAACAGUGCCGUUGAUACUGCGGGGCUAGGAUUUGGUUGCUGUGGGUGGAAUGUGUGGUGUAGCGGUGAAAUGCUUAGAUAUCACACAGAAUAUCGACUGCGAAGGCAGCUCACAAAGCCAAGAUUGACGCUGAGGCACGAAAGUGUGGGGAUCAAACAGG